ACCCUUCGGUCUGCAGGCUGAUGCUCUAUCCACUUAGUCAAACUGGCUAGGGCCUGAUACUGGUUGAAUUUAACAAAGGAGGAGAGGAGCAAAUCAGAAGAUAGAAUGAUUGGAAGCCCAUGUGUGUGAGAAAACCCUGUCAGAAGAUAAACGCAUUUGGUCAAGAUAAGGAUGAAAAGAAAUGAGGUCGGUUGCAGGAUUUUUGCUUAAAAAGAACACGUGUGUAAAGCAUUAAUCCUCUCUUGUGAGGUCAUGGACCAUGGACCCUUUUGAGAUGGAUAAAAACUAUGGCUUCUUUCCCAGGAAAAAUGCAUAUGCUCAUCUUAUUUAACCUCCCAUAAAAGCUCAGCAUGGUCUUGGAGAUUGACAAGCCCCAGCACAGUCAAGUGUACUCUUGUGUGCAUGGCACCUUUCCCCCCAGCCAAUUAGCUAUUCCACAGUGCAGAUAUUUUCCCUGUGUGCUUUCAGCUACAGGCUGGGGAAGCCCUUGGAAAGUGUUGGCAGGUGGGACAGAGGGAGCCUCUUCCAGGUAGAUAGCUCAGCGUCCAGGCACAAUCCCAGGCCUAGUCAGACCCUGUUGGAAACAGCUCCACAUUUGUUCUCUGAGUCUUAGUGGCUCUCAGAGCCCCUUGUCUUGGUUUCUGUGGGUUGGAAUCUGAUCUCACUCCUACUGUCGCCGUCAAUAGAGUAGGAAUCGGACCAGUAAAAUUCUGCCUGGUGACUAGUCCUUCCACCAACGGAGAGAAUUCUGAUGCCCACUGCCUGCCCACAGGACCGUUCAUUUUGUGCAGCCCCCGGGCUCCCAUCACUGUGCUCCAGCCGUCCACAGGAGCAACACCAUGACUUCUCCCUGCUUGAACCUCCUGCUGCCUCCUGACCUGGACUGCCCACUGCAGCAGUUUCACCCAGAGGGUCUCUAACUGCCACGUUAUUUAAUUUUGCACCCAGUUCUGUUUUUAUUGAUAAUAAUAAUAGUUGCAGAUUUGUCAAGGUCUUACUUUAAGCCAGGUGGUGUGGUGAGCCUCCUUCCGUUCCUUGUAAAGAUCCUGUCUUACAGCUAAGGAAUCAGAGCACUUAAGUAACUUGCCCCAAAUCACAGAGCUCAUCCGUUUACUGGAGAUUUGAACCCAGGUAGGUCCCUUUGUUCUAGAACCACAGCUCUUCACUACUCGGAAAUGUCCUUCCUGUGUCUUCCCCAGUGGUUGAUUUUUAAAGACCUGGUCCAUUUUGUUGUCCCUGUGUUUUUGUAGGUAACUAUCAUACUCUGCACAGUUGCUGAGAAGUAAUAAGAUGCCUUCAUCAUUUAAAUCAGGAUGAAUAAAAGAAGGGUGGCCUCAGAGAGAGAGGUUGAGUCAGGAGGGGAACCGUGAGAGAGGGAUGAUGACAUACUCUAUUUUAAACGUUGCAUUUCAGCUGACUGCUGCAAACACAGUAAAAGCUACUUCCAACAAGCAUCUCACCAGAAAUGUGAUAGGAUUCUUAGGAAGGAUUUGGCUAAUGAUGUUUAGCAGAUUUGCAACAAUUGCUAUAAGCUCAAAGGGAAGAUAGUUUCUGGCAAGGCACUGGGCCCUCCCAGGGAGAGUGGAUUAUUUUACUUGAUGUGCAAAGGCAAGGAAGGUAUUAAAGAUAGCUACCUUCCUUCCAAUAUAACAGUAUAAAUAAACAAAAGAAGAAAGAUGAUUGAGGCCUUCUCUGUUGUAUUUCAUGGACCUCAGCAUGCUGGUAGAAAGCAACACAGAACACAUACAUUCAGGUUCACAGAAAGUUUAAAGUCGACCUGGCCACUCAGCGAUCUCUUUCUGUAUAUUUGAGUGGCCCACCUGUUGGGCUUUUGAAAUUUGGAAUAAUAAAAGAAUAACAAAGAAAGAGGCCCUGUAGUUUUUGCAUGCAUUUUCAGGGACUUCAGCUCAGAGCCCUUUAGGACGAAGAGUGCUAUCGUGGGCAAACAUCCAAAAAACAUCUCUUAGGGGGAGCCUUCUGUUUUUGUUUUGGAACAAAUCUGCAAUUAAUCAAAGCAUUAUUUCCAGUUAUAAAAAGUUGGAAACAACCUAGAAGUCCAACAAAUAGAAACAGAUUAUUUAUGGUACACAAACUUGACAAUAUAUUAUACAAUAUUAAAAAUAAUUAUGCUGCCAAUAUAACCACAUUCAGAAAUGUUUAUGUUAUGUAGAAAAUGGAUGCCAUGUUUUGUUAUGUAAUAAGCAAAUGGACAUGUAGGCACCUUCAAUAGGGCAGGAGAACUAUGAAUAGCCACGCAAGUUAUUUCUUCUGUUGUUUUUCUUAUAACAGCUCUUUUAUAAAUAACAGAAAAUGUAAUCAAAAUUUGCAUAACCAAGAAGCCCUCAUCACACAAAUAUGCUCCAGUCUCUGUUCUGUCAUAAAAAGCCACCAACUUUUCAUUUUCCUGCAAAUAUCACGUUACCUUUUGCCUUCUCUCAACAGCCAAGCUUCUUCAAAGAAGUUUCCUUUACCUUCCAGCUUUGUGUUUUGUCCCAAUCUAUUGAAAUCUCCCUGCGCCAAAUCACUUCUUUGAAAUUGUUCACAUGAAGGUGUUGAUGCCAGUUCUGACAGUUGAUGCCAGUCUGUCUGGGAGCUGUCUGAGCAGAGGCAGACCUGAAUGUGCCAACGAUAAGCUGGAGGCCACACACCUGUGCUUAUUUCAAUCGGUGCUGUCCCUGCCUUCAAGAUGUGUUACCUUUCUGACAAAUUGAAUGCAAGACCGUCCACCUGCAAAAUUAUUAAGACUCACUUUAUUGUGAUACUCACUUCAUUGCUGGGGUCUGGAAUGAAACCCACAACAACUCCAAAGUAUGCUGUCCACCGUGACCUUAUUUGGAAGACACUUUGAGGUGGAGAGUUCUUCAUGUCUCUUUGGAGUGUCCUUGGGCUUGCUAACACAGAGACCCAUCCAAGGGGAGCAGUGAAGUGCCAGAUUGUAGUGGCUUUGCCAGUUUGUGUCCCUGAAUGAAGACAACAUGGCACAGAAGCCUUAGCACAAUCCACGACAGGCAUGAGGAAACAGAAGCAUCCAAACUCUACAUCUUGCAGCUACUGCAUUCUCAGCACACAGCUUGCAAGAUCUCUUUUCCAUCAGGCCACGGAAAGAGAAAA